rnacentral:rRNA from 1 species
AUACGUAGGGAGCGAGCGUUGUCCGGAAUUACUGGGCGUAAAGGGCGCGUAGGCGGCGCUUCAAGUCGUCUGUCAAAUGGGAGGGCUUAACCCUUUUUCGCAGACGAAACUGGAGAGCUUGAGAAGCAGAGAGGCAAACAGAAUUCCUGGUGUAGCGGUGAAAUGCGUAGAUAUCAGGAAGAAUACCAGUGGCGAAGGCGGUUUGCUGGCUGCAUACUGACGCUGAAGCGCGAAAGCCAGGGGAGCAAACGGGAUUAGAUACCCCGGUAGUCCUGGCAGUAAACGAUGUAUGCUGGGUGUGAGACUAGCGAUAGUUUCGUGCCGAAGUUAACACGAUAAGCAUACCGCCUGGGGAGUACGGUCGCAAGAUUGAAACUCAAAGGAAUUGACGGGG